rnacentral:rRNA from 1 species
AGUGAACGCUGGCGGUAGACCUAACACAUGCAAGUCGAACGGCAGCACAGUAAGAGCUUGCUCUUACGGGUGGCGAGUGGCGGACGGGUGAGGAAUACAUCGGAAUCUACUUUUUCGUGGGGGAUAACGUAGGGAAACUUACGCUAAUACCGCAUACGACCUACGGGUGAAAGAAGGGGAUCUUAGGACCUUGCGCGAUUGAAUGGGCCGAUGUCGGAUUAGCUAGUUGGCGGGGGAAAGGCCCACCAAGGCGACGAUCCGUAGCUGGUCUGAGAGGAUGAUCAGCCACACUGGAACUGAGACACGGUCCAGACUCCUACGGUAGGCAGCAGUGGGGAAUAUUGGACGAUGGGCGCAAGCCUGAUCCAGCCAUACCGCGUGGGUGAAGAAGGCCUUCGGGUUGGAAAGCCCUUUUGUUGGGAAAGAAAAGCAGCAGGUUAAUACCCCGCUGUUCUGACGGUACCCAAAGAAUAAGCACCGGCUAACUUCGUG